rnacentral:rRNA from 1 species
CAAUCAAACUGGGAAAUAGCUCGUACUCCCCGAAAUGCAUUUAGGUGCAGCGUUGAUGUGAGUUUAAUAGAGGUAGAGCUACUGAUUGGAUGCGGGGGUUUCAUCGCCUACCAAUUCCUGACAAACUCCGAAUGCUAUUAAAUGCUCAUCAGCAGUGAGGGUAUGGGUGCUAAGGUCCAUAUCCGAGAGGGAAAGAACCCGGACCAUCAGCUAAGGUCCCCAAAUAUAUGCUAAGUUGACCAAACGCGGUCUGACUGCACUGACAGCUAGGAUGUUGGCUUGGAAGCAGCCAUACAUUUAAAGAGUGCGUAACAGCUCACUAGUCGAGCGGUUGGGCAUGGAUAAUAAACGGGCAUAAGCAUAUUACCGAAGCUAUGGGGUUAUACAUUAGUAUAUACCGGUAGGGGAGCAUUCUAUAGGCGUGGAAGCUAAAGGCGUGAGCCAUAGUGGAGCUGAUAGAAAAGAAAAUGUAGGCAUAAGUAACGAUAAGGCAGGCGAGAAACCUGCCCGCCGAAAGAUCAAGGUUUCCUCAGCUAUGCUAAUCAGCUGAGGGUUAGUCGGGGACUAACGCGCACCCGAGCAGGGGAAGUGGAUGUACAACAGGUUAAUAUUCCUGUACCAUUAAUCUGAUAAAAGUGACGGAACGAGAUAACUACCGCGUACUGACGGAAUAGUACGUUAAAGGAGCUGUUAUGGCUUUGAUAGUACACUGAGGCUUCGGCUGAUGUGAUAGAGUGGUGACAACGUUUCCAAGAAAAGCGAAGAUUAAUGCCCGUACCGUAAACCGACACAGGUGAUUGGGAUGAGAAUUCUAAGGCGCUCGAGAGAUUCAUGGCUAAGGAACUAGGCAAAAUAGACCUGUAACUUCGGGAGAAAGGUCGCCUAUCUUGUGAUAGGCCGCAGUGAAAAGGUCCAAGCGACUGUUUAUCAAAAACACAGGACUCUGCAAAAUCGAAAGAUGAGGUAUAGGGUCUGACACCUGCCCGGUGCUGGAAGGUUAAGAGGAGAGCUUAGUGGUAACACGAAGGUUUGAAUUGAAGCCCCAGUAAACGGCGGCCGUAACUAUAACGGUCCUAAGGUAGCGAAAUUCCUUGUCGGGUAAGUUCCGACCUGCACGAAUGGUGUAACGAUUUGGACACUGUCUCGGCCAUGAGCUCGGUGAAAUUGUAGUAUCGGUGAAGAUGCCGAUUACCCGCAGUGGGACGAAAAGACCCUGUGCACCUUUACUAUAUCUUCGUAUUGGUCUUGGAUAAGUGAUGCGUAGGAUAGGUGGGAGACUAUGAAGCGGCUAUUCCGGUAGUUGUGGAGUCAUUGUUGAAAUACCACCCUUUGCUUAUCUGAGGUCUAACUUUGCACAAGGCAAAGGACAAUUCGUGGAGGGUAGUUUGACUGGGGUGGUCGCCUCCAAAAGAGUAACGGAGGCUUCUAAAGGUACCCUCAGACCGAUUGGUAACCGGUCGUAGAGUG